rnacentral:lncRNA from 1 species
UAACUUUAACUUUUUAACUUUUUGGUUCUUUUUUGAUUAAAAAUGGUUGCUUGUUCUUGGUUGGUCUUUUGAGAUGAUUUAGAUUCAAGCUUGCAAAAAUGGUUGACUUUGGUUUACUCACUUUUUUUUUUUGAGAUUUUUUUACUCUUACUAUCCUUUUGUUCACCUUUUUGUGGUUGCUUUGUGUGUGUUAUCAUUUUCUUUUAUUAUGGACUUGUUGUAUUUGUU